UAUAUUUUAGUAUAUGACGUAUAGAAAUUUUUGAUAUUUCAGGAAAUAGUUUAAUUCUAUACGCUCUUC
rnacentral:tRNA from 1 species